rnacentral:rRNA from 1 species
UACGUAGGGGGCAAGCGUUGUCCGGAUUUAUUGGGCGUAAAGAGCGUGUAGGCGGCCAGACAGGUCCGCUGUGAAAACUCGAGGCUCAACCUCGAGAUGUCGGUGGAAACCGUCUGGCUAGAGUCCGGAAGAGGAGAGUGGAAUUCCCGGUGUAGCGGUGAAAUGCGCAGAUAUCGGGAAGAACACCCGUGGCGAAGGCGGCUCUCUGGGACGGUACUGACGCUGAGGCGCGAAAGCGUGGGGAGCGAACAGG